rnacentral:lncRNA from 1 species
CGCCGAUCCUUUUCCAUAGAAAUGUAUGGUUUCUAUAUCGUAUAUGUUAAUUGACUAAUUGAUGAGGCUGACAGGGGUUAACAAAUCAAAGAACAAGUGCCAAGUCAAUGAAGCAUAUAUAUGUAAAUAAUUUCAAAGCCGGAUCCUUUUCCAUAGAAAUGUAUGGUUCCUAUAUCGUAUUUGUUAAUUGACUGAUUGAUGAGGCUGACGGGGUUUAACAAAUCAAAGAACAAGUGCCAAGUCAAUGAAGCAUACAUAUAUAUGUAAAUAAUUUCAAAGUUAUUGUCUACAUUUAUUGACUUGGUAUGUCCUGAAUAUUUUCUGCAUAUACCUACAGUAUUACCACAUUUCAUACAUAGUGAUUGAUUCUACUUCUUGCAGUAAAUUAACAAUAGUGGUAAAUGUAGCUCACUGGUUUUCUCAUUGUGCGUGCUAUGUGCUAUCGGAGAUAACUUUAAAUUCUUUUAAUUUUUUAAUCUGAAUAUACAUCGAGAAGUUUACUCUUUCCAUAUAACGGAGUUAACAAUUUCCCACGUAUGCAUGACGAAAACUUUGAGUAAACUUUUAAUUUUUUAAUUUGAGUAAAAGAAAAAUUAUUGGGUGAUACUGGAAUACAACGGUGUGGUAUAAUUAGUCUGGGUAUUACUUUUCUAAGAUUAAUUUUUUAAUAAAAACGUCAAUAACUUGUGUACAUAAGUUAGACAUACUAGACGUAACCAAGAAAUCACACACGCCAAAUGGCACAUCAUAAUUUCACCAUUACAAACUCAUGUAUGGCCAUUUUAACUCACCACGCUUUUAAAACCUUCCUCCAACAAGGCUCUUUAUUUUAAGGCUUAUUAGCCAAAAUGCUUUAUGAAAUUGUUAUAACCCCUCACUUUGGUCUCUGACAUUGAAACCCGAUAGAAAUGGUCCUUGAAUUUAUUCAUCAUAAAUUAUUUU